rnacentral:lncRNA from 10 species
GGGCAAUAAGAAGGGUGGGGCAGAAAGGAGUGGCCCCUCAGGAGGAAGGGGCGGGGAGAUCCCAGCUACUAGAGGACGCCCGUUCCAAUGGCAACUCUGCCAAGGCGCCUAUGAGAGCCUCUUGGCUUUUACCUGGUCUGCGAGAAAUCAAACUUUGGGCACAAGUCAUGAAGCCGACAAGCCCGGGAGACACAGUGUCAGAAUUACAAGGAACACUACAAGGCCUGUUAGAGAAGAAAGGGUAGAAUCCCGAGAAUGUUUUCCCCACAGUGCUGAUAAGGAGAGACCACUAUCCCAUCUACUGCUACAGCUCUGGAGACAGAGCUCUCCCACCUGUCAUAUAGAACACAAGGACCAAUCUGCAGAGAAAGAGCAUCCAAACCUGAUCCAGUGGACACUGGGGAAAAACUCACCACAGCUGAGUGUGGAAAAACAAGGCCAACACACACAUCUCUGCACAGAUACAUCUCCCAUAAAGAAACUAAAGUGUUAAUUUACAGGGCACUGUUGCAGACCCACUUCAGCUGGAAGCUAGGAACAUGGACAAGGAGCCUCUCUACCACCAAGGGAGAGAGAGGAAUGUGCUCUUGUCCUGGCAUUGCAUCCACAGGAGGGGCAGGAAAUUCUUUGAAGGUUUUCAGAUCUCAUGACUACUUUAUUUUGGAGUUGCCAGACUCAGCAAAUAAAAAUACACGACACACAGUUAAGUUUAAUAUUCAGAAAGAAAACUGUUGUGGCAAGUCAGGGACCCCAAACGGAGGGACCGGCUGAAGCCAUGGCAGAAGAACAAGGAUUGUGAAGAUUUCAUGGACAUUUAUUAGUUCCCCAAAUUAAUACUUUUAUAAUUUCUUAUGUCUGUCUUUACUGCAAUCUCUAAACAUAAGUUGUGAAGAUUUCAUGGACACUUAUCACUUCCCCAGUCAAUAUCCUUGUGAUUUCCUAUGCCUGUCUUUACUUUAAUCUCUUAAUCCUGUCAGCUGAGAAGGAUGUAUAUUGCCUCAGGACCCUGUAAUAAUUGCAUUAACUGCACAAAUUAUACAGCGUGUGUGUUUAAACAAUAUGAAAUCUGGGCACUUUGAAAAAAGAACAAGAUAACAGCAGUGUUUAGGAAACAAGAUAGAUAGCCUUAAACUCUGACUGCUGGUGAGCCGGGCAGAACAGAGCCAUAUUUCUCUUCUUUCAAAAGCAAAUGGGAGAAAUAUCGCUGAAUUCUUUCUCAUGAUGGAACAUCCCUGAGAAAGAGAAUGUGUGCCUGCGGGUAGGUCUCUGAACUGGCCCCCCUGGGCAUAGCCUGUCUCUUAUGGUCGAGGCUGCCGAGAUGAAAUAGACUCCAGUCUCCCACAGCGCUCCCAGGCUUAUUAGGAAGAGGAAAUUCCCGCCUAAUAAAUUUUGGUCAGACCAGUUGAUCUCAAAACCCUGUCUCCUGAUAAGAUGUUAUCAAUGACAAUGGUGCCCAAAACUUCAUUAGCAAUUUUAAUUUCGCAUCGGUCCUGUGGUCCUGUGAUUGCGCCCUGCCUCCACUUGCCUUGUGAUAUUCUAUUAUCCUGUUAAGUACUUGAUGUCUGUCACCCACACCUAGUCGCACACUCCCUCCUCUUUUGAAAAUCUCUAGUAAAAACUUGCUGGUUUUUGUGGUUUGUGGGCCAUCACAGAUCCUACCAACGUGUGAUGUCUCCCCCGGACGCCCAGCUUUAAAAUUUCUCUUUUGUACUCUGUCCCUUUAUUUCUCAAGCUGGCCGACACUUAGGAAAAAUAGAAAAAAACCUACGUGAUUAUCGGGGCAGGUUCCCCAAUAGAAAACAAAUAACUUUUUAGUAUAACUAUAAAAUAAACAUUUGCGUGUAAUAUUUCUAUUCCCACCUAUUAUAUAUUACAUACAUACACACACACACACACACACACACAUCCUUUUGCUUACCUGAAUUUCAUAUUUAAUGUUCUUGGACUUUUUUUGUUGACCUCAAUCCAUAAGAACUGUAGUUCUCCCCAGUACAGUUUCAGCACCAAUGACCAAGUCUCAUC